AUUGAACGCUGGCGGCAGGCUUAACACAUGCAAGUCGAGCGAGCGGCGGACGGGUGAGUAAUGUCUGGGAAACUGCAUGAUGGGGGGGGAUAACUACUGGAAACGGUAGCUAAUACAGAAUACUAUCAGAAGUGCCCAAACGGGAUUAGCUAGUAGGUGGGGUAAUGGCUCACAUGGGCGACGAUCCCUAGCUGGUCUGAGAGGAUGACCAGCCACACUGGAACUGAGACACGUUCCAAACUCCUACGGAAGGCAGCAGAGGGGAAUAUUGCACAAUGGGCGCAAGCCUGAUGCAGCCAUGCCGCGUGUGUGAAGAAGGCCUUCGGGUUGUAAAGCACUUUCAGCGAGGAGGCGUUACUCGCAGAAGAAGCACCGGCUAACUCCGUGCCAGCAGCCGCGGUAAUUC
rnacentral:rRNA from 1 species